rnacentral:rRNA from 1 species
AUGUAUGCACGAAAUGAACUACAUAACGAUGGACAUGCAUACAUAUACAUUUUGCAGGUCAAGGAGAGUAACUACGCAAGGAUCUGCGAGCAGAAAAGCAUGCUCACCGUGAACGGCCAGUUCCCCGGCCCGACGAUCACCGCGUGGAAAGGGGAGGUCUUCAUUGUCAACGUCUACAACCAGGGCAAUAAACCCAUCACCAUCCACUGGUAA